GCUGUUUUAGUUUAUUUUUGUAGAAUUUUAAUUUUGUAAUUUAGAGGAUUGGACAGUG
rnacentral:tRNA from 1 species